rnacentral:rRNA from 1 species
GACGAACGCUGGCGGCGUGCUUAACACAUGCAAGUCGGACGGAAAGGCCCUGCUUUUGUGGGGUGCUCGAGUGGCGAACGGGUGAGUAACACGUGAGUAACCUGCCCUUGACUUUGGGAUAACUUCAGGAAACUGGGGCUAAUACCGGAUAGGAGCUCCUGCUGCAUGGUGGGGGUUGGAAAGUUUCGGCGGUUGGGGAUGGACUCGCGGCUUAUCAGCUUGUUGGUGGGGUAGUGGCUUACCAAGGCUUUGACGGGUAGCCGGCCUGAGAGGGUGACCGGCGACAUUGGGACUGAGAUACGGACCAGACUCCUACGGGAGGCAGCAGUGGGGAAUAUUGCACAAUGGGCGGAAGCCUGAUGCAGCAACGCCGCGUGCGGGAUGACGGCCUUCGGGUUGUAAACAGCUUUCGACUGUGACGAAGCGUGAGUGACGGUAAUGGGUAAAGAAGCACCGGCUAACUACGUG